AUGUUCGGCCGCGCCCCCAAGAAGAGCGACAACACCAAGUACUACGAGGUGCUCGGGGUGCCCAAGAACGCCGCCCAGGACGACCUCAAGAAGGCCUACCGCAAGGCCGCCAUCAAGAACCACCCCGACAAGGGCGGAGACCCCGAGAAGUUCAAGGAGCUGGCACAAGCCUAUGAGGUUUUGAGUGACCCUGAGAAGCGUGAGAUAUAUGAUCAGUAUGGCGAAGAUGCUCUCAAGGAAGGAAUGGGUGGAGGAGGUGGUGGUGGAGUUGAUCCAUUUGACAUAUUUUCAUCAUUUUUCGGGCCCUCUUUUGGAGGUGGUGGUGGUGGCAGCAGCAGGGGCAGAAGGCAAAGGAGGGGAGAGGAUGUUGUCCAUCCACUAAAAGCUUCUCUAGAAGAUCUUUACAAUGGUACCUCGAAGAAGCUCUCUCUUUCCCGCAGCGUCCUCUGCUCCAAGUGCAAGGGCAAGGGCUCCAAGUCUGGUGCUUCCAUGAGGUGCCCAGGUUGCCAGGGGUCAGGCAUGAAAGUGACUAUUCGUCAGCUGGGGCCUUCCAUGAUACAGCAGAUGCAGCAGGCCUGCAAUGAUUGCAAGGGCACCGGGGAGAGUAUUAACGACAAGGACCGCUGCCCAGGCUGCAAGGGUGAGAAGGUUCUUCAGGAGAAGAAAGUUCUGGAGGUUCAUGUUGAGAAGGGGAUGCAACACAACCAGAAGAUCACCUUCCCUGGUGAAGCUGAUGAGGCGCCUGACACUGUUACUGGAGACAUUGUAUUUGUCGUCCAGCAGAAGGAACACCCAAAGUUCAAGCGAAAGGGCGAUGAUCUCUUCUAUGAGCAUACCAUAUCUCUCACUGAAGCUCUUUGUGGGUUCCAACUCGUCCUGACCCAUCUGGACAACAGGCAGCUGCUCAUUAAAUCAAACCCUGGUGAAAUUGUCAAGCCUGAUUCAUUCAAGGCAAUCAGCGACGAGGGGAUGCCGAUGUACCAGAGGCCGUUCAUGAAGGGCAAGCUCUACAUUCAUUUCACGGUGGAGUUCCCCGACUCGCUGGCACCGGAUCAGUGCAAGGCUCUCGAGGCUGUGCUUCCACCAAAGCCUGCAUCCAAGCUGACCGACAUGGAGCUCGACGAAUGCGAGGAGACGACGAUGCAUGAUGUCAACAUGGAGGAGGAGAUGCGUCGGAAAGCCCAUGCUGCUGCUCAGGAGGCGUACGAUGAGGACGACGAGAUGCCCGGAGGCGGUGCCCAAAGAGUGCAGUGCGCACAACAGUAA
rnacentral:rRNA from 1 species